rnacentral:rRNA from 1 species
UACGUAGGAGGCGAGCGUUGUCCGGAGUUACUGGGCGUAAAGGGUGCGCAGGCGGCCGCGCGCGUGGGUGGUGAAAUCUCCCGGCUCAACUGGGAGGGGGCCAUCCAGACGGCGUGGCUUGAGGCUCGGAGGGGGGCGUGGAAUUCCGGGUGGAGCGGUGAAAUGCGUAGAUAUCAGGAGGAACACCGAUGGCGAAGGCAGGUCUCUGGGCUGACACUGACGCUCAUGCACGAAAGCGUGGGGAGCAAACAGG